AGAUGGGUGGUAUUUUGACUAUGGCUUCUGGAGCAGUUGAAGGAUUUGCUACCGUUUAUUCUGGCUUAGAACAAUCUGCUUCCAUUUUAGGCGAAAACUUCAAAAUAAUACAGUAAAAGUGGUUGAACAUAAAUAUGGUCAUAAUGCUGGAGAAGUUGUCUCGGGAACUCUAUCUACUGUAGGAAAUGCACUUGCUGUUUCUGAAAAUGUUCAAGGUCUUAAGCCCAAAAAACUUGCCAAGAAAACUGCCAAAGCUGCUGGCAAAGCUGUUAUCGAAAGUGAAGUAUCAGGAAAGUCACCAGAAAACGAUGACAAUCUAAUUGAUGAUAGUGUUAUGUACCCAGAUCUUUCAGAACUCAGUAAACAGUUGCAGAUCUCUGAAAGACGAGCAGAUCUAUGAUUAAGAUAAGUGGUUUUCAAUUGAAAAAAGUAUAAGCUUUCUUACAAUAAUUCAAGUUUGAUAUCAUUUCGGAUGCGUAUUCUAAAUUUAUUUGGUAUUGUUUUAGAGAUCUUGCCCUAUUGCAUUUCUAUUAUUUUAGACAAAAACCAUCAUUUAAGUUGACUGUACUUUACUCUUUUUUAACAAUAGUAAUAGACUUUUAUAAUCAAUAAUUUAUUGAAGGGUUCGGAAAUUAUUUUGGUAAUCCAAUUUAUAUGAAUCUCAUUGUUUUAAUAUCAUUUAUUUUAUUAUUUAUUAUCAUAAAAUCCUUCUUA